GGAACGUUGUGUCCCCCGCCAGCCCCAGGCAGCUGCUGGGGGCAUUGCUGCCUGCUGGGGAGCCCGAAGCAGGCCGAAAGGACCCUCAGGCUUUCUGCAGGAGAGCUUCCAAGUGGAUUUUGAGGCAUUUUGAGGUGUUCUGGACAAUCCUAACAAGAGAGUGGAUUAGAGAAGAAUCACCUGUAUGGUUGAUUCUAUGUGACAACAUGAGGAGAGAAUUCAAGCAUUAAAUGGACACAGUAACUGGGCUACCUAAAACAUGACUCUGCAUGAUAAAGCAGGAUUGUACUUUGAAUGCUGCCUCCUGCAAGCAGGUGAGACUACUGGGAAGAAGCAGGGAAGGGAGAAGAAAACCUUCUGUCUGCCUGUCAGGAAGGCUAGUUGAGCAUGGUGAAAGCAUGUCGUGUUGUGAGACAUGAGUAAAACUCUGGCUUUCAAGAAAGCCCCUUCCAGAAGGCCUCUCUGUGUUUGAAAAGCAGUUGAUGCUGUUGGACCCAAUCCUGAUUAGGACGUGUGACUACUACUACAGCAUAUUAGUAUAAAUUGUAAUAACUUGAAUAAGUUGAUCUAUAUUAUUUGCUAUUAAUAUAAUUAUUUUUUACUGAGUUUGUAAUCUGUACAAUUUAUUAGUGAAAUUGCUUUCAGAAGUAUGCUGCUCCCCUCACUGCUGAGUGUGUCUGGUCUGCUAGAUUUAUCGCAUUACAAUACAAAUCAGUAUGCAGAGGGCUAUUUAUAAAGUCUUGAAGCUCUGUGCCAGCAAACUUAAAAUUAACAGUGAACAACUAAUUAACAAUUAUACAACUUGAAAGGAGUGCUAAUUAAAAAAGUUUUUAAGAGAUGAGUUUUCAAUCGAAAUACAAAAUAAGCCAGAGACUUGUGUGCCUGAAAUAGAAUUUUGGACCAAUGAGCAGAAAUGCAAAAAAGCACUAGCUGUAUGUGAAACAAAUUUUUAAUUUUCUCUUCAGGUAACUCUCUGCAAGUCUUUAGGAUCAAAAGAAAAUUCACUGUUUUGGAUAGAAAUUAUAAAUCGGUGUAUUUUUCAGUUGUCAUGGUGUUUCAGUCAUUAUAUGUUGGGGUGUGUUCUAUCAUGGAGAUUUUGGCUUAGAGAUCAUGGCUGUAUCAAACAUGACUGUUGUCUGAAACAGCAAGACAGAAAUUGUCUGGAAGACUUCAUGUUACUCACUUAAAAGCGUUCAAGUCUGGUAGUUGGGGGAGCUCUGUAUGUUUUGUGUUUUCUCUUUUCUUUUUUUUCUGUUAUGUCCUGUUCUUCCCUAGAAUGUCAAGAAUUGGAGCUUCAGAAGUGGUUUAAACACUAUGUGUUUACAAGAAAAAAAGUUGUGAAGGUGCAUAAAUUGAAUAAAGUAGUGUUAAAAAACUGA